rnacentral:lncRNA from 12 species
UUCAUUUAAAUAUUUCACUCUUUUUUCUUUCCAGUGAUGCUGAAAGCAGCCUGACAUUUCUAGUCAAUCAAAAGGAAAACAAAUAACCUCAGCUAUGGAGAGAAAAAGACAGCUACAGAAAAGGGAAUUUGGGAAAAGGCUUUCUCUGGACAGCAGUCUUGUGGAAUAUAUGGACUCCAACAAAUACAUCGAACAUUUAGUGACUCAGCUGGAAGAACAACGCUGGAAUUUAUGGAGGCAAGUACUGUGCCAUGCAUAUUUAUUUAUGUUGCUAUUUUGGAAACGAUACU